GACGAACGCUGGCGGCGUGCUUAAUACAUGCGAGUCGAACGGACAGGCCUUUUCGUAGGUACUUGAGUGGUGGACGGGUGGGUAACACGUGGGUGAUCUGCCCUGCACUCUGUGAUAAGCAUGGGAAACUGGGUCUAAUACCGGAUAGGUACGCCCGUUUGAUAGUGUUUAUGACAGUUUUUUUGGUGUAGGAUUGGACCGGGGCCUAUACGCUAGUUGGUGGGGUUAUGGUCUACAAAGGCGGAGAUGGGUAGCCGGACUGGGGGGUGGGACGCGCACAUUGGGACUGAGGGAGGGACCAGAAUCCAACGGGAGGCAACAGUGGGAAGUCUUGCACAAUAGGGGCAAGCCUGUGGCGGAGGCGCCGCGUUGGGGAAGACGGGUUUCGGGUGGAAAACGGCUGUGGGCGGGGACGAAGCACUUUGUGACGGUACCUGGAGAAGAAGCACCGGCUAACUACGUG
rnacentral:rRNA from 1 species